rnacentral:rRNA from 1 species
GAUGAACGCUGGCGGCGUGCCUAAUACGUGCAAGUCGAGCGAACGGACGAGAAGCUUGCUUCUCUGAUGUUAGCGGCGGACGGGUGAGUAACACGUGGAUAACCUACCUAUAAGACUGGGAUAACUUCGGGAAACCGUAGCUAAUACCGGAUAAUAUUUUGAACCGCAUGGUUCAAAAGUGAAAGACGGUCUUGCUGUCCCUUAUAGAUGGAUCCGCGCUGCAUUAGCUAGUUGGUAAGGUAACGGCUUACCAAGGCAACGAUGCAUAGCCGACCUGAGAGGGUGAUCGGCCACACUGGAACUGAGACACGGUCCAGACUCCUACGGGAGGCAGCAGUAGGGAAUCUUCCGCAAUGGGCGAAAGCCUGACGGAGCAACGCCGCGUGAGUGAUGAAGGUCUUCGGAUCGUAAAACUCUGUUAUUAGGGAAGAACAUAUGUGUAAGUAACUGUGCACAUCGUGACGGUACCUAAUCAGAAAGCCACGGCUAACUACGUG